UAUGGCCGUUACGCAUCUUGUUAUUCUAGUGUCUUUGGUACAAUGUACUCAGAAUACUUGCAUAAAUCAAUAACAUAAUUACAUACGAAUUGGCAGUGCUAGCAUAAACAAUAAUGUUCAAGUGGAAGCGUCAUAUGAUCGCCCGCUUCUGAAGCACACUGCACAAAUGCAUGGUCAGCAUUCCCUAACCAAAUGCCGAUGUAUACAUACUGUGCACACAUAGCAUUUUUGCUCAACAUAUAUAGUAGCCGCUUCUCCACCGACUUCACCAGGCAGCGAAGGCGCAAUUCAUAGCCUAAGAAGAAUAUUGAUUUUCAAUAUUAUAUGGCGACCGUGACAGGACCAGGAUGUAAGGCCUAAGGACAAAUGGCCUAAGGACUACAAAGGAUUAGGGACUACUAAAAUCACUAUCAAAUCAAAAAUUGUAUUGGACUGGACUGGAGAUACGGAUGGAAAGCAAAUUUCUGAGUGAGUAGAGUGAGGCAAUGAGAAACAAGCGCGGCGGUGUGCGGCAACAGUUAAAAACGAGAAUAGCUCACCUAAAAUGGCUAUUAUAUUCUCAUACGCCACCACCAGCCUGGUCAACUGCUCGCAAACUACAAGCAGAUCUUGAUUUCUUACAAAUAUAAUUAAAAAAAGAGCCAAUAAAAACCCAAAGCCCAACUCUCAUUCAUCAAAACCACAAAUAAUACAAAAAUUAAAUCUGCAACACCACAACCCAGAGCCAGCAUACCAGUUUACAAGGAACAAUGCCCGUUGGAUUGUGAGGCACCAUGGAGCGCCUAUUGCAAGUACACUUGCAAACAUUGUAAGGACAUCAACCAGCAGAAGGAAGGAUGUGCGACAACCAGCACCGGCACCGCUUAUAAUCAAAAAAAAAAAAAAAAAUUCUUUAAACAAAGAACUAAUAAAAUCCAAAAUAAAAA